GUAAGUUGCUUGGUUUUGCUCUAUUUCUUGGUUACAUUUGUUACAUAUCUUUGUUUCUUUGUACCUAUGGGAGAGAGGGUAGGCAAGUCAUUGUGAAGUUUCAACAGUGUUAAAAAGCCCGAGUCCUCCCUACAGAGGUUUCAUGAGACAAAGAAACCGAGAGGGUCUUCACAAACAACAGAACCCCAGUGCAAAACAUUUCAAAAGAAAAGAAUUCUUGCUAAGUGCAAAAAAUACUGUAUCAAGAAUACUGUCCUGCCAUUGUUUGUCUCUAAACUUUGCUGCUGCUGAAAUCCCAAGGACAAAGGGACAGGAAACAGGAUUGUUCUGGAACAGUCUGGAUGUUAUUCUACCGAGCAUAUUCAAAAGACUCAGACGGGUUUGUAAGCUGCAAGGAAGAAGUCAAUGGAAAAGAAAAGAUUAAAGAUGAGAGAUAGUGAAG
rnacentral:lncRNA from 1 species